GGCGUGAGGGGGUGUGUCCGCGCGCUCCACGGGGGCGCGCGCCGGCCUCUGACUGGAGGCCGCAGCGGCAGAGGCGCGAGUUGCACGAUAAUGGCGGCCUGCAGAGCCCGUGAGAGGGAGAAGCGGCGGCGGCUACCCUGAGAAACCUCGACCUUGAAGAUGGUGAGUAGCCAGCCAAAGUACGAUCUAAUACGGGAGGUAGGCCGAGGUAGUUAUGGUGUUGUGUAUGAAGCCGUCAUCAGAAAGACUUCUGCACGGGUUGCAGUGAAGAAAAUUCGAUGCCACGCACCUGAAAAUGUUGAACUAGCCCUUCGUGAGUUCUGGGCACUAAGCAGUAUCAAGAGCCAACAUCCAAAUGUGAUUCACUUGGAGGAGUGCAUCCUACAAAAAGAUGGGAUGGUGCAAAAGAUGUCCCAUGGCUCUAAUUCUUCCCUUUACUUACAGCUUGUAGAGACUUCACUAAAAGGAGAGAUUGCCUUUGAUCCCCAAAGCGCCUAUUAUUUGUGGUUUGUGAUGGAUUUUUGUGAUGGAGGAGAUAUGAAUGAAUAUCUGCUGUCCAGAAAACCCAAUCGUAAAACUAACACCAGCUUCAUGCUUCAGCUGAGCAGUGCCCUAGCUUUUUUGCAUAAAAACCAGAUCAUCCACCGAGAUCUAAAACCUGAUAACAUCCUGAUUUCUCAAAGUAGGUUGGAUACAAGUGACUUGGAACCCACAUUGAAAGUGGCUGAUUUUGGUCUAAGUAAAGUUUGUUCAGCCUCUGGGCAAAACCCAGAAGAACCUGUGAGUGUAAAUAAGUGUUUCCUUUCCACUGCCUGUGGAACUGAUUUCUACAUGGCUCCUGAAGUGUGGGAAGGACACUACACAGCAAAAGCAGACAUCUUUGCACUGGGGAUCAUCAUCUGGGCCAUGCUGGAAAGGAUCACAUUCAUAGACACAGAGACAAAGAAGGAACUCUUGGGGAGUUAUGUAAAGCAAGGAACUGAGAUUGUGCCUGUUGGAGAGGCGCUUCUGGAAAAUCCCAAAAUGGAACUUCUCAUUCCUGUGAAAAAAAAGUCUAUGAAUGGGCGAAUGAAACAACUGAUUAAGGAAAUGCUGGCUGCAAACCCUCAGGAUCGCCCAGAUGCUUUUGAAUUAGAACUCAGAUUAGUACAAAUCGCAUUUAAAGAUAGCAGCUGGGAAACGUGACAUAUUAUUUGCAAAUAUCGUGGAUGACAUGCUGCUUCUCAUUUAACAGUGAUGCAACAUUAUGUGGCUGAAAAAGAAUACAAAAAGCUAACUCCAUGUUCUAAGGGUUUAGAUUUUAUUGUGGGCUGUUUCUUUAUUUUUCUGAAUUUAAGCUGGCCAUUUUAUUAGUAUGUUUUGAAUGUGUAUUACCAAUGUAGGUGUAAAAAUUUUUUUUAAUGACCAUUGGUAGAAGUUUGGCAGGAAAAGAGCCAAGAAAAAAGAGUCCAGUUUUCUGAAAAUGUCUCAAGUAUUUUAGACAUUCCUUGUCAGUAUUAGGCAUUUCCAUGGAAGAAGAGGUUUGCGUGCUGGUAAUGCAACCUUUAAAGCUUUGUAAAGGAAACAUAUAUGUAUAUAUUUAUGUAUAUGUAAGUAUGUGAAUGUGUGCAUUUUGUAUUCCAGAUGAAGAAAAUGCCACUUCUGUUUAAAUUAUUUGUUUCAGGUUUGAGUUUUUGAGAUUUGCUGAUGAAAUCAGUGAUGAAAAAUAAAUAAACCUCCCCUCAUCUUCUUCCCUGUAAUGAAAUGUAAGCUUUGGGUAUUUUUUUUUUUUUUUUUUGUACUAGUACUGCUUUUUGUUUUUGUUUUUCGAAGCCAUCAUUUUGGAGGACUAAAAUUAUGAGUAAACAUAACUGAAUUAGGUAAUCCAAAGCUGCUGAAGUAUGUUUGAAUUCUUCAGUGCCCUAUAGCUGUUAGAAUUGAAUUAAUUAUGCAAUCAUAGUAGUGAGUUGGCAAGGACACUGAUAAUUCAGACAUACCUUAGGUAACUGAGUAUUUGUUUAAUUAAUUAAACCACUGUAUUGGGAUAUGUCUAUUCCUUUUUAGUUUUUUGAGACGGUCUCAUUGGGUAGUCCCAGCUGGUCUCAAACUCAGAGCAGUCCUGCCUCAGCCUCCUGAGUUCUGGGGUUAUAGGCAUGUGCCACCACACCCAGCUGAUAUGUCUGUACUUGAGCAUUGUUAAUCUGAUAUAAAUCUGAACAUGAGAUUCUUCUGUUUGUGAAAAUUUUGCUAUGAAUGAACUAUAAUACUUGAUAUAUUAAUUUUUUAAGACUUUAUCUAAGUCUCAGCAUAAAGUUGAAGAAACCAAAUGAAUUCUGCAUCCAUGUUUCCUGCCCUGGUAUUAUCUCUUGUUGAAUCACUGGAGUUCCUUUCAUUUUGGCACUGAUGCUGUUUUCCUCUAUCCCUUUGAGAUAGUAAUGGUAGUAAUAAUAGUUGUCUUAACUCUUAACACCUUUUUUCUAAGUGGAAGAUGAUACAUACACAGUUUGGCAAGUGGAUAAAAUACUGUGGAGUCAGCUACUUUUCCAAUAGAAAAGUUACUGAUUUUAUACAAUCAUUUAAUAUGAACUAUAUAAGAAAACAAGAAGCUAUCGUUUCUCUUGAAGUUAGUUCAGUUUUAACUGUAUGGUUGUUUCCUGUUUUUCUGUAAAUGCAGAUAGUUAAAAUUUAAAGAAAGAAUGCUUUCCCAAGACUCUAUUAGCCUUUGGGGUUAAAUAGACUUUACAUUGUAUCUAUGUUAAUCUUUCUAAAGCAGUAGAAUCUUUCUAAAGCACUAGAGUCCAAAAAAUCAAAAUAGUACUAGAAUAUUGAAAUUAUUGAUAAUUUGCAUAAUCUCCUUGAGUUUUUUUUUUUUUUUUUUACUUCUACAACUUUUAGAAUAUUACUGUCAUUUAUUCCCGAUUUAAAAUGUAUUCAGAUGGGCUGGGAGUAUAACUCAGCGGCACGGCACUUGCCUGGCAAGUGCAAGAUCCUGAGUUCAAUUCCCAGUACCAAGAAAAAACAAAAAACAAUAAAAUGUGUUCAGAGUCUGGGCGUGGCAGUGCAUGCCUAUGAUCCCAGCACUUGGGAGGCUAAGGCAGGAGGAUUGCUUGGAGUUCAAAGCCAACCUGGAUUACAUACAGUUUAGUACAAGCCUGAACUACAAAGUGAGACCUUGUCUCAAUUAAUUAAUUAAAAUAACAAAACGUGUUCAGUGAAUAAUCGAAGGUAAAAAACAGUUUUGGAGUACGUUAAGUUUCUAGACAAUGUGUUACUUAAUCUGGAAGUUUAAAAUUUGGACUGAAGAUUUUAUUGAAAUAAAACCUUAAAAAGUCAUAUACAUCGAACAUGAUUUUCAAACUAUUAAAUAUUAAAUUUCAAGCUUCUACUUUUGGAUUGGAAAGUAGAAGUGACCAUACACUGAAACUUCAUGGUAAUGACACUCUGAUUCAUCCAAUUAGUUUAACAGAUCUGUCCAAGGGGAUUGAGUUGCUGAGAGUAAGAAAAAGCACGUUACGAUCUUUUGUGAAUAAUGCGGCACUUCAGCAGAUAGGUGGGUAAUAUCUUGCAUUUCCUUUGCUCUUUAUAUAUCUGUGUACUUGGAGCCACAGUUUCCUAAGUACGUGGAUUUUGGUCCUGCCUCAUUUACAAGAGUUAAUGAUUAUAAUUUAUUUUGUUUUUUGUGGUGCUUGGAAUUGAACCCAGGAUUUCUUACAUACUACACAGGCGCUUUAUCACUGAGUUACUUCUCCAGCCCUGAUGUUUAUUUUGAAAAAUUUUACUUACAAAAUAGAAUUUUUUUUGCUUUCAUUGAGGAUAAUGGUAUGAGGUGAUCAGAAAGUUUCUUCUGGAAUUUUCUCAAGUCCUUGUAUUCUAAAGUAGCCAAAAUGAUAAUAAAUUCUUGUCUUCCUUUGUUCUUUCAGUCAGAGGUAUUAAUAUUAAGUACCUACUGUGUGCUCAGCACUAGAAAGUAAUUGAUAAAAAUGUUAAUUUAAAAAUGGCAUUUAGACACAAGUCUUUCCCAGCCAAGAAUAAAAAGUAAAAGAUUGGUGAUACUUGGAAAUUCCCAGAUAUUUGCUAGGGAAAAAAAUGAAAUCAAGAAUUCAUGCACAGUGCCUUGCCCAUAAUAGGUACUCAAUAAGCAACUAUUUCUCAUAGUCUCUUGCUAUGGUUUAUAUAGUGUUUCAUGGAAUUUGUCUUAAUUGAAAAAGACCAAAUAUUCAAAUAAGCUUAUAGGCAGCGGAGUCCAGUUAAAAUAUAGGGUUUGUACAGUUAAUUCCUAGAAUGUUAUUUUGCACUAGUUGUCACUUAGAAAGAUGGGGUUCCUGUAGAUUUGUGGUGCUAAGGGAUACUUUGUCAUUAUGAUGAAGUAAAUGUUAAGUGACAGAUAAAUAGCACACAGAAUAGUUCUUUCUGCUAGUGUGGUUUUUUUUUUCUUUGUUGUUGUUUUUAAUUGUAAAAUGUUAUCAAACUAUUGUAGCAGCUACAAAAUAAUUCACCAGCAUGACAAAAUGGUCAAAAAAAUAAGUCAUCAGCACUUCAGAAAUGAAAGCAACUUUUGAAAUUUUCUUUUUAAAUUGUCAAAUAUAUUUUAUGAAGAAUUUAUAAAGGGGGAAAUGAUUGUAAUUUAUUGUUCAUGACAGUUUCUUUUUUUUUUUUUUUUAAUAAAGUGAGUUUCAACAAAAAAUCCUGAAAAUUUUACAUUCCUGCUUUGAGUGGUACUGUAGUGCUUUAUUUCAUGAACAUAAAAUAGAGGGUAUGAAACUUGAAAUAAUGUAUUUUUCAGACUUAUCAAUUAAGUGAUACUAUGAAUAGAAUCCAUUGAUAAGGGAAAUAUGAUUGAGUUGCAGCAUUUCACGUUCUAUAAAAUUUUAAUUCUCUGUCUUGCUUCAUUUGUUUCUAUAUAAGAAAAACAUAUUGCUUGAGUUAAAUUAUUUUUCUUUUCUCCUACAUUUAGCUGAGUAUGCAUUCUAGACUCAAUGAGGUAUAUUAAAUAUUCUAACAGAAUGCAAUAUUUCAAUUGAUGUGUGAGGCCAUGGUUUCUUUUCUAGAAUGAAGUCAUCUGUGUGGCCCACUGUUUUCCUUUAUAGAUUUUAUUAAUGCAUGCCUGAGGGUACAGUCCACUCAAUGAUCCCAUAGAAUAGCAGGAAAAAGUACUGUAGAGGAGACAGGAAUCCUUGUUUGUACAUGGUCCAAUGAUUAGGAAAGUAGACACCAGCAUUUGUGGCCUCUCCUCUCACUAUCACCUGCUCCUGGUAUAGCUUUUGUCACUAGGCAAAGUUUACUUUCUACUUAGAGAUUAAAUCUUUUAAACCAAAUAUUUGUAGUUACAGUGUUAUGUCUUUUCAUAUUGUAUCUUUUACUUAAAAUAGGGGCUAAUUUCUUCAUAAAUAAAUAGUAAUAACACCAGUUGCUGAGGUAAGGAUAAUGGUUUUGCUAGGACAGGGUUUUAGUGCCUAAUCUUUUGACUCCAGUUGGAGUUUUCUCUGACGAAAAGCUUUAUCUUUCUCAAUGAAGUAACACUUGGUUGUUUUAGUUUCAUCUUUAAAUUCAAAUGUUGCUCUCGGUCAGCCAAUCAGAGACAUCCUCUGAAAUGCAGCGUAAUGACAGACAGUUUGUGGUUAGAUAGUAACUCUUGAGAAAACCUGCAAGGCCACACCUCUAGACGAUAGUGUAUCUUUUAAAAGUAGCACUUUCACCUUUACAGUGAGUUUUCAUUGGUUAGAAGGGAAUUGUUUUAAAAAUUAAAAAAAAAAGUCUGGCCUUUGGAUUUCACUUUCACUUCCUCUUCAGUCUGAUAUUUCAAACUUUACUUGUUUGGAGCAAAAGUUGAGCAACUUGAUGUUAUAGCAGACAUCGCGGGCUAGCUGCAAACGCACAGGCUUUGUAGAAGAUCUGAUACAAAUAGUAGCUCUUCCAAAUAUAUAAGUAACACGUAUCAGCAGCUGAGCCAUGGUUCAGAGCAUUGUGAAGAUGUUCGGCAAGGAGCUGUUCCAUGGAGGAAUGCAGCGUGUCAUAGUCAACUAAUGUCACUGCUCUCCAUGAGGAGAUUGGACAGGAAAUGACUCAGCUGCCUGUACUGCCCAUCUGCUCUGCUGACGCCCAAGCCUGGAAAUCUGAAGAGUCCUACCAAGUACCAAAUAGUAGAAUGAUGUGUUGUUUCUCCUAAACGGCAGGGAUGUCGUGCUUUGAGAGGUGACAGUAGAAGCACAGCUCUGCGGCAGAGGUGAGAACACGGCAAUGAUGACUGAACUCUGAUAAAUAGAUGUAGGUGGCGGUGCAUCUCAUCUUGAUUGGGAAAGGUUUUUUAAAAAAAGAUGAUGUCUAUUUCUGGACAUUAUGGAGUUAUAGGGUCUCAAUUUCUUUUCCUGUCUUGAACAACUAAAAUGCUAGAGACUAGACAGAUGACAGCACAAAAGAGUAAUCUCCUGAGGAAGGGAAUCAAGUGAAGUGAGAGGCCCCUGGGGGCUCGCUGGAGGGAAUCUUCAGGCUGUGCAGAGGAGGAAUACCAAACAGAGUCCAGCCAUUUCCAGAUGUUGAAAAGACAGAGCUCAGGGAGGCCGAACCAGAUAGAACUCGUAGGAUAGAACAUCAAUGACAACAAGUGAGAAACAAGGCUGCUAUGUUAGUACAUGCCUGUAAUCCUAUCCCUUGGGAGGCAAAAGCAGCAGUAUCAUCAUGAGUUUGAAGCCAGCCUGAGCUACAUAGUGACUUUAAGACCAGCUUAAAAACCACAUAAGAGGGGCUGGGGAUUUAGCUCAGCGGCAUAAGCACCUGCCUUGCAAGCAGGCAGUCAUGAGUUCAAUCCCUGGUACCAGUAAAAAACGAAAAAGACAAAAAAAAAAAAAAAAAAAAAAAAACACAUAAGGAAAUCUUAUCUCAAAAAGGGGUGCGGGGGGUUGAGGGGUGUAUAGUGGCACCUACUUGUAAUUCCAACACUUGGGAGGCUAAGGCAGGAUUCUGGUACAUUUGAGACCAACCUUGGCUACCAAGUGAGUUCAAGUCAGGCUAACUGCUUAGCGAGACCUUGUGUCAAAAACGAAAAAAAAAAAGACUGUCUCAAAUUUAAAAAAAAAAAAUUUUUAAGAAAGGCUUGAGGAAGUAGGUCUGUGGUACAGCAUUUGCCUAGCAUGGGCAAAGUCCAGAGUUUAAUCUCUUCUUCCACAAAAAAAAAAAAAAAAAAAAAAAAAAAUCUAAAAAUGUGUAGACUACAUCAAGCUAAAAGGUAGCAAACCAUCUGAUGGUUUCCCACUGAGAUCAGGAACAAGGCUAGGAUGGCACCUCCACUGCUUUUUAACUAGAAGUCCUAACCAAACAUCACACAAGAAAAGGUAUGCACACUGGUAAGGAAGAAAUAAAACUAUGUUUGCAGAUGAAGUGAUGUGCAAAAGUCUAUCAGUUUCCUACUUAACAACAAUAGGCAAGUAAAACUAGAAUUUAAAAACCAUUACAAUAGUUGGGCAUGGUGGCACAUGCCUGUAAUCCCAGCACUCAGUAGGCUGAGGCAGGAGGGUCCUUUCGAGUUUAAGACCACCCUGGGCUACAAAGUGAGUUAAAGGCCAGUUGAACUAUAUAUAUAGCGAGACAUCUCAAAAAGACCAAAAAAAGAAAAAAAAAAAAAGCAAUUUACACAAACAACUAAAAAAAAAAAAAACUUAAGUAUAAACCUAACAACAAAAAAAGUAUAAACCUAACAAAAUACAUACAGCCAGGUGUGGUAGUACACAAGUAAUCCCAGUGCUUGGGAGGCUGAGGUAAAAGGAUAGCUACAAGUUCAAGGCCAGUUUGAACUACAUAGGGAGACACUGUCUUAAAAUACAAACCAAAAAACACGUAAGUCAUAUAUGGAAAAAACUGUAAACUUCUGCUGAAAAAAUCACAGAAGAAGAUAAAUGGAGAACUAAUUCAUGUUCAUGCACAGGAGACUCACUUAUAAAAAGAUGUCAGAACUGGGCAUGGUGGCACACACCUGUCAUCUCAGCAUUUAGAAGGCUGAGGCAGGAGGAUUGCUGUGAGUUCAAGGCCAGUCUUGGCUACAUAGCUGGGUCAAAAAACAAAACAAAACAAAAAAGCCAAGUGGUGGUGCAUGCACUUGAGAGGCUGAAGCAGAAGAUUGCUGAGAAUUCAAGGUCAGCCUGCAUUACAAAGCAAAACUCCGUCUCAGAAAAAAAAGAGGGCAAGCAGCAACAGGUGAUUAGUUGAUUGAUUAAUUUUUGCAGAACUAUGUCUCCAUUACAUUUUUUUCUAAAUUUUGAAAUAGAUCUCCCUAAAUCCUUAAAUUACUCAGGCUGGGUUGGAACUCAAAGUCCUUUGGCCUCGGCCUCCUAGAAUGCUAGAAUUACGGGCCUGUACCACCACUCCCAGUUUUACAAUGUGAUUUAUGAUAGAGGCUUUGAAUGUGCCAUAUGGAUAUGAACUGGAAACUUAGUGUCAAACAUAUAUGUGAUUGCCCCAGGUAAAACUUGACACCAAGGGUUUAGGUGAGCUGCCAUGGUUGGCAGUACUCUGAGUACCAUCACACUUUAAUGUCAGGAGGGUAACUGAGGCAACAGGAGCUUUUUUUUUUUUUUUUUUUUGGUCCUGGGAAUUGAACUUAUAACUUUGUUUUUAUUUACUUAUUUAUUUAUUGUACUGGAGAUUGAACUCACGACCUCGUGCGUGACAGACAGGCAUUUUUUACACUGCUGAGCUAAACCCCCAGCUGAACUCAUAACUUUGUGAUUGCCCAGCAGGUGCUGUGCCACUGAGCUAUAUCCCUGGCCCAGGAGUUUACAUUUAGAAUCCUCCAAGACUAUGCCCAAUGUGUCUCUUCCUUUGGUUCUAAUUUAUUAUAAAUUGCUACAAUGCAACUGUAGUUAUAAGUACAUAUAGCACUUUCUUGAGUUCAGUGAAUCAGAUACCUGAUGGAACCUGAGGGCCGUCAUAUGGAUGCCUAAGAGAGGGUGACCCUAGGGAUGCCUGUGCUUGUGACCAUAUCUGAAGACAGGAAAGGCUGUCUUCAGAUUGUGCCACUUACUUAAACCCUCCUGCAACUAGUCAGCAAUAAAAAGGAACAAACCAUCAAUAAAUGUAUAUGUGGGUGAAUGCUGAGUGAUAUUAUAAAAUGAGAUAGGCCUUCCUCCCAUAAAGAGUAUGUACUGUAUGGUUAUAUUCAUGUAGAAACCUAGCUCUAAAGUGACAGAAAGCAGAGCAGUGGUUGUCUGGGCAUGGAGUGGUGUAGGAUAGAUUUCAAAAGAGGAUGAGGAACAUUUUGGAGGUGAGUAAAUAUGUUAUUUCUUACAUAUCAAAAUUCACCAAAUUAUACGCUUUAUAUAUGUGUAUUUUAUUUAUAUCAAUUAUACUUAUUUAACUUUUUAAAUUUAAAAACUGGGUAUCUUCCCAGAAGAAUUGAAAACAUCAUAUCACAGCAAUACACAUGCACCCGUGUCUAUAGCAGCACAAUUUGCAAUAGCUAAAUCUUGAAAACAACUCAAAUACCCAUCAAACGAGGAAUGUAUUAAAACAAUGUAUUUUUAUACAAUGGAGUAUUACUCAUCUACAAAGAAAGAUCAACUCGACAUUUUUAUAGGUAAAUGGCUGCAACUAGAGACCAUAUUCACAAUGAAAUAAAUCAGGCUUACAUAUAUAAACAUGGUAUUGUCUCCCUGGUGUAAGAAACUGAAACAGUAAAUAAGAUCCAAUAGGUGUAAUAGAUACUGUGAAAGGGAAAGAAACUGCUCAAAAGGAAAGAGCAGUAGGAAUAGGGAAAAGGAGAAAAGAAGGAAGGGAAAAAGGUAUGCAUAUACAUGAUAGCUAAGAUAAUGGUACUACUAAUUCUAUUAGUUCAUUGAAAGGACCAGUUAGUGCUUUUAUUGUUUUUUUGUUGUUGUUGUUGUUGUUUGUUUUUUCUCAUGGUUUUUUAAAAAAUUAUUUUGAAGGUAGUAAAAUACAACUAAGCAAGACAGAACAAAGCCAAUUGAGACAGUGUAGCGAAAUUGGUACAGAAUUUCACAACAGGUUACCAGGAUAACAGCAAUAGAUAUCACAGUAUAUCUCAUUAUCAUCACAAUAGUUGUUCUUUCAAUCACGUAUAGCAAAAUAAAAUGAAGUACAGAACAUUAUAGAACUUAUCAAAACAGAAUAUUGAAUAGAGCAGUACCAUUAAUCAGAAUAAAGCAAAACAGUAGUAAAAAUAUUUGCCUUCAAAAAGAUGGUAGAGGGGCUGGGGAUUUAGCUCAGUGGCAUAAGCGCCUGCCUUGCAAGCAGGCAGUCGUGAGUUCGAUCCCUGGUACCGAUAAAAAGGAAAAAGACAAAAAAAAAAAAAAAAAGAUGGUAGAAGGAAAUCCCCCUUAUUUGCUAUAUUGCAUAUGGUCAACCUCCAAGAGAUGCUCAGAUCUCUGGUUCCCAUUUGCUAAAAGGGGGUGGGUGGGGAGGUGGGAUGUUUGACUCUAAGCCCAUGUACCAGUAAGCUCACUAUUGCUUAACAGGGAGGCAGGCUGAUUGCUUGGUUUGAUCAGUUUUGCAUGCCCAAAUCUGAUAAUCUGAGCAACUUUUUGAAGAUAACAAUAUAAUAACCAUUGUUAAUUUCCUAUCAUCUUGCUUUGACGUUCUGCAUUGUUUUUAUUGUUUUUUAAUAUAUAAUUUGGGACAUUGAUUAGUUAAGGCACAGCUACAGGUGACAAAAAUCAAAAUCAAAUUCUCAAUAAGAUGGGGGAUAAAAAAGCAGCUGUAGAUCUAUGUACAGGAAAUAUCCAUGGUUUUACUAGUUUAAGGCAUGAUGGGAUUCAGGUACUCAAAAGAUGUCAUAUGGUCUCCAGCUCUCUCCAUCCUGCAACUCAGUUUUCAUCUGUGUUGGUGAAUGUUCCCAUCAGGGUGAAAAAUGAUUCCCCUGCAGCAGGCAUGACACUUGCACUAUACUUUUUAUGUGUACUUUAUUUAUAUUGUUUUAAAAAGCUGAUAACCAUUAAUUUUUUUUGAAACAAGGUCUCACUGUGCAGUUCAAGGUGGCCUUGAACUCACUAUGUAGCCCAGGCUGGCCUCAAACUGUAGUGAUUCUCCUGCCCCCGUCUCCCAAAGCAGGGAUUACAGGUGUUCGCCACCACUCAACUACUUCACAUUAAUUAUAUGAGAAUUUCAGUAGGUGGAGCCCUUGUGUUGAUUUUUUUAAAACACAAUAUUAGUGAUUCAAAUGUGAAAACAGUGAAAUAACGUUAGCUUGUGGGACAGGUAGAGAAGGUCAAAGGAUGUCAUGUUUGGAAUUCACUUCCCUUCUUCCAGGUGCAACAUCUUCACCAUUCAUCACUUUCCCCAUCCAGGUAGAGCCUCCCUGAGUUUCCAGGAAAUAGCAAAAAAAAAAAAAAAAGGCAAAUCUGUGGUAUUUGGUUCUGGGGCAAGACUCCUCAAACUGGCAUCUAAGAAGGGACUCCAGCAACUUCAGGACUGUCAGCAGGCCCACUAAAACUGCAACCAAAGUUAAGGGCCUAUAACUGUUAGCAGAUUUGUAAAGGAAUCCAAAUGCCUAAGAAUCAGCACUGGAGCAGCACGGGGAACACUGCACAGGAACUGGUGCAGGGGGUGAGUGGGGAGGAGGCUUAGUCACAAUUUGGCCCGCGGCAUCCUGGUGGAUCUGCCAACUCCUGGGAAGUGACAGCUCUCAUCUAGAUCUACACAGAACACAGCUAUUCUGGCUGCCCCAGUACUGGGCCUUCUGCAGCUGGUUCCCAGACCCACCAUCCUCCUCCUGGGUCCUGACCUGGGCCUGCCUUUUCCAGGCUCAGUUCUUAGAGGAGAAACUUCCUAACCUCAGGAUUCCCUUUAAGGACAUGGGACAAAAGAGUUCAAAAGAUCUUCAUAAUAAUUAGUCAUUGUCACCACUAAGUACGGGGAUCAAACUCACAACCACACACUUGCAAAGCAGGCACUUAUGCCGCUGAGUUAAAUCCCCAGCCCCCAAGAGUUAACAUUUCAAAAUUCAUAUACAUCUAGUAAUAUCGCUUUCCAGUGCUACUGAGAGAAAUUGAUAAAUCUCCCUCGGUGAGAUAUUUUACCACAUCUCCCUUACUAACUGAUAGAACAAAUAAACGAAAAUUCAGUAAGGUCAUGGGCAAUUGGAACCAACCAACCAAUAAAAUCUUAUCAUGUUCUAGUCA